AUUGAACGCUGGCGGCAGGCCUAACACAUGCAAGUCGAACGGUAACAGGAAGAAGCUUGCUUCUUUGCUGACGAGUGGCGGACGGGUGAGUAAUGUCUGGGAAACUGCCUGAUGGAGGGGGAUAACUACUGGAAACGGUAGCUAAUACCGCAUAACGUCGCAAGACCAAAGAGGGGGACCUUCGGGCCUCUUGCCAUCGGAUGUGCCCAGAUGGGAUUAGCUAGUAGGUGGGGUAACGGCUCCCCUAGGCGACGAUACCUAGCUGGUCUGAGAGGAUGACCAGCCACACUGGAACUGAGACACGGUCCAGACUCCUACGGGAGGCAGCAGUGGGGAAUAGUGCACAAUGGGCGCAAGCCUGAUGCAGCCAUGCCGCGUGUAUGAAGAAGGCCUUCGGGUUGUAAAGUACUUUCAGCGGGGAGGAAGGGAGUAAAGUUAAUACCUUGGCUCAUUGACGUUACCCGCAGAAGAAGCACCGGCUAACUCCGUG
rnacentral:rRNA from 1 species